ensembl:misc_RNA 7SK 7SK RNA
AAAGGUGAGGGUGAUCAGAAUGUGACAUCUGUCAUCACACUGGUCUCCAGGACUGACUUUGCUAGUCUAGCUCGAUAGGCAGCUGUCCCCUUCCUCCCUUGCUGCUCCAUGUGUCGCUCCCAAAGGUGCAAACUUAAAGAGGAUAGCCUUCCCCGACAGGGGGCUGGGAGUGUCUGUGCCCCCUGCUAGAACCUCCAGAUGUGUUUCCAAACAGGGCCAUCAAAGGAAAAAUCCCCACCGGUGGCCCCAGCAGUGAACCCCACAUACUGACACAAUAACCAAUGCACCUGAAACCAGUUACCCGAGCUGAUGAUCCCCCGCU